CCUACGGGCGGCUGCAGUGAGGAAUAUUGGUCAAUGGGCGCAAGCCUGAACCAGCCAUUCCGCGUGAAGGAAGAAGGCCUUACGGGUUGUAAACUUCUUUUCUGUAAGAAGAAUAACCGGGACGAGUUUCCGGGAUGACGGUAUUAUAGGAAUAAGCAUCGGCUAACUCCGUGCCAGCAGCCGCGGUAAUACGGAGGAUGCAAGCGUUAUCCGGAUUUAUUGGGUUUAAAGGGUGCGCAGGUUGUUUGACAAGUCAGUGGUGAAAGUCUGCCGCUUAACGGAAGGAUUGCCAUUGAUACUGUUGGACUUGAGUAUGGAUAAGGUAUGCGGAAUGUGUAGUGUAGCGGUGAAAUGCAUAGAUAUUACACAGAACACCGAUUGCGAAGGCAGCAUACUGGGCCAUUACUGACGCUGAGGCACGAAAGCGUGGGGAUCAAACAGGAUUAGAUACCCGGGUAGUC
rnacentral:rRNA from 1 species